rnacentral:rRNA from 1 species
AUUGAACGCUAGCGGCAGGCCUAACACAUGCAAGUCGAACGAGUGGCGGACGGGAGAGUAAUGUCUGGGAAACUUCCUGGUGGAGGGGUAUGACUACUGGAAACGGUAACUGAUACCGCAUUCCAUCAGAUGUGCCCGAAUGGGAUUAGCUUGUUGGUGGGGUAACGGCUCACCAAGGCGACGAUCCCUAGCUGGUUUGAGAGGCGGACCAGCCACACUGGAACUGAGACACGGUCCAGACUCCUACGGGAGGCAGCAGUGGGGAAUAUUGCACAAUGGGCGCAACCCUGAUGCAGCCAUGCCGCGUGUAUGAAGAAGGCCUUCGGGUUGUAAAGCACUUUCAGCGGGGAGGCGUUACCCGCAGAAGAAGCACCGGCUAACUCCGUGCCAGCAGCCGCGGUAAUAC